rnacentral:rRNA from 1 species
AUGUGGAAGUCGCGGGCUCCGAACACAUGCAAGAUCUUCUUGUGGCUCGCUGGUAGGAGGAGAUGCUGGACGGCUGACAGGCUGCAGAGGCAUUUGAUGCCGCACCCGCCGGCCUGUCCACUAUGCGACCAGGAACUAGAGACGAUUGACCACUUACUACUUGGAUGCGUGUUUGCGAGACAGGUCUGGUCGGACAUCACAGGCAAUUGGGGAAAACCCCAAUGGACCCCUGCCCACGGAGCGAAGCUUGUUCAAUGGUGGUCUUCUUUAAACGCCGAGACGAGGAUGAGGAAGGAAGCUUGGACGGUGAUCACGUUGGUGGCAUGGACAAUUUGGAAACACAAAAACGACGUCGUGUUCAACGGCGCUCUACCUUCCGUCAACAAGGUGCUCGAGACGAUCGACGCGGAAGGGGAGAGCUGGAGGGCUGCAUCUCUGCUACGGUAG